CACGUAGGGCGCAAGCGUUGUCCGGAAUUAUUGGGCGUAAAGAGCUCGUAGGCGGUCUGUUGCGUCCGCUGUGAAAACUCGGGGCUUAACCCCGAGCCUGCAGUGGAUACGGGCAGACUAGAGGUAGGUAGGGGAGAAUGGAAUUCCCGGUGUAGCGGUGAAAUGCGCAGAUAUCGGGAGGAACACCAGUGGCGAAGGCGACUUCCUGGCCCGUUCUUGACGCUGAGGCGCGAAAGCUAGGGGAGCAAACGGG
rnacentral:rRNA from 1 species